ACUCCUACGGGAGGCAGCAGUGGGGAAUAUUGCACAAUGGGGGAAACCCUGAUGCAGCCAUGCCGCGUGUGUGAAGAAGGCCUUCGGGUUGUAAAGCACUUUCAGUAGGGAGGAAGGUAGUGUAGUUAACACCUGCAUUAUUUGUACGUUACCUACAGAAGAAGCACCGGCUAACUCCGUGCCAGCAGCCGCGGUAAGUACGGAGGGUGCGAGCGUUAAUCGGAAUUACUGGGCGUAAAGCGCAUGCAGGCGGCCUGUUAAGUCAGAUGUGAAAGCCCGGGGCUUAACCUCGGAAUUGCAUUUGAAACUGGCAGGCUAGAGUCUUGUAGAGGGGUUAGAAUUUCAGGUGUAGCGGUGAAAUGCGUAGAGAUCUGAAGG
rnacentral:rRNA from 1 species